UAAAGAACCUACCUUAUAGACAGGGACAACUAUUGGAAACGAUAGCUAAUACCUGAUAAGAAAGAAACUCGCAUGAGAGAAGUUCGAAAGUCGGAGCAAUCUGACACUAUAAGAUGGCUUUGCGGUGCAUUAGCUAGUUGGUAGGGUAAAAGCCUACCAAGGCGACGAUGCAUAGCCGACCUGAGAGGGUGAUCGGCCACAUUGGGACUGAGACACGGCCCAGACUCCUACGGGAGGCAGCAGGC
rnacentral:rRNA from 1 species